rnacentral:lncRNA from 1 species
AGUUCAGGUUUUGCGGUCGCCGUGGUUGCUGUUCCUGCUGCCACAGGUUGGAACUGGAGAUGCCUCUUCCUUCUCUCAGGACAGAACCAUGAGCCUAGCGGCAGCGCCGGUUCGCGAAGCUCCCCCUCCGCCAACGGGCGCCUCCUCAGAGCCGUCCGUGCCCGCCCUGCCGGGAGCUGACCCGCAGCGCAGUGCAGAGUUGCUCCUGUUGGCGGUGACCAGGGAGGGACUGGAGCGGCGGAUCAUCUCCAGGAAGCGGGCUGAGUAGGAACUGCAGCCGCCACAUCCUCUCUUUACCCGGGGAUGUGCAGGAUUACCGUGAAAUCAUGACUCGUCAUCCUGCGAAUUACCAAUGGGAAAAUUGGAGUCUAGAAAUUAUUGCCUCCAUUUUAGCCCACCGGUUCCCCAGUAGCUGUAUUGGGGUGAUGAAGUGCUCCGGAACAAAUGCGCUGCCAUGAUAGUUUUCUGAAAAGUAACAUGUUUGGUUUCCCAGAACACAAUACAGACUCUGGAGCUUUUAAGCACCUUUAUAUGUUAUUAGUUAAUGCUUUUAAGUCAGAGUAGUUUAUCAAAGGAAAAUUUGAAUGAUUGGAAUAAGGACUCCACAGCAUCUAAUUGUAGAUGUCCAAUUCUUCUCAUACUACAAAUCAUUUCCAGGAAGGAAAAGAUAGGACCUUUGAAAAAUCUGAUGGAUCGGCCAUGUGUUUUUAUCCACCAUCACUAAAUGAUGCAUCUUUUCCUUUGACUGGAUUCAAUAAAUGUGUUGUUUUGAAUCAGUUUCUUUGAAUUGAAAGAAGCCAAGAAAGACAAAAACAUAGAUGCUUUCAUUAAAAGCAUAAGUACAAUGUAUUGGCUGGAUGGUGUUCAUUCCGGAGGAAGGAAUACUGGAGUUACUUAUCCACAAGUCUUGAAAGAAUUUGCACAAACAAGAAUUAUUGUUCACACCCAUGGAACACUUUACCAAGUAUGUGAUCUAAUGAGAUCUUGCAUUGGAAAGGAGCAAAAUAAAUUUUUUAGAUACUUGGGGAUAUUGGUAUGCUGGUGAGUAGCUGAAUUCAUUUCACGAAGGAAGCUCCCUACAUAGAGAAUCCCU